CACUCCUACGGGAGGCAGCAGUGGGGAAUUUUGGACAAUGGGCGAAAGCCUGAUCCAGCAAUGCCGCGUGCAGGAUGAAGGCCUUCGGGUUGUAAACUGCUUUUGUACGGAACGAAAAAGCUCCUUCUAAUACAGGGGGCCCAUGACGGUACCGUAAGAAUAAGCACCGGCUAACUACGUGCCAGCAGCCGCGGUAAUACGUAGGGUGCGAGCGUUAAUCGGAAUUACUGGGCGUAAAGCGUGCGCAGGCGGUUAUGUAAGACAGAUGUGAAAUCCCCGGGCUCAACCUGGGAACUGCAUUUGGGACUGCAUGGCUAGAGUACGGUAGAGGGGGAUGGAAUUCCGCGUGUAGCAGUGAAAUGCGUAGAUAUGCGGAGGAACACCGAUGGCGAAGGCAAUCCCCUGGACCUGUACUGACGCUCAUGCACGAAAGCGUGGGGAGCAAACAGGAUUAGAAACCCUGGUAGUCCCAU
rnacentral:rRNA from 1 species